rnacentral:rRNA from 1 species
AUUGAACGCUGGCGGCAUGCUUUACACAUGCAAGUCGGACGAGUGGCGAACGGGUGAGUAACAUAUCGGAACGUACCGAGUAAUGGGGGAUAUCUAAUCGAAAGAUUAUCUAAUACCGCAUAUUAUUCGAGCGGCCGAUAUUUGAUUAGCUGGUUGGUUGGGUAAAGGCCUACCAAGGCGACGAUCAGUAGCGGGUCUGAGAGGCUGAUCCGCAACACUGGGACUGAGACACGGCCCAGACUCCUACGGGAGGAAGCAGUGGGGAAUUUUGGACAAUGGGAGCAAGCCGAAUCCAUCCAUGCCGCGUGUCUGAAGAAGGCCGUCGGGUUGUAAAGGACUUUUGUCAGGGAAGCGGUACCUGAAGAAUAAGCACCGGCUAACUACGUGCCAGCCGCCGCGGUAAUUC